CAGAAAGUAAACGCGGAUCAAACCGCGAACUUUUAAACCUUUGACGAUUGACUCAUGUUGCCUCGGCGGGUUCUCUCGCCAGAGGAUACAUCAAAACUCCUGUUUUAACGGUGUUGUCUGAGCUACAAGCAACGAAUCAAAACUUUCAACAACGGAUCUCUUGGUUCUGGCAUCGAUGAAGAACGCAGCGAAAUGCGAUAAGUAGUGUGAAUUGCAGAAUUCAGUGAAUCAUCGAAUCUUUGAACGCACAUUGCGCCCCUUGGUAUCCCGAGGGGCAUGCCUGUUCGAGCGUCAUUUCACCACUCAAGCCUGGCUUGGUGUUGGGCGACGUCCCCUUCAGGGACGCGCCUCGAAACGCUCGGCGGCGUGGCACCGGCUUUAAGCGUAGCAGAAUCUUUCGCUUCAAAAGUUGGGGCCCCGUCUGCCGGAAGACCUACUCGCAAGGUUGACCUCGGAUCAGGCAGGGAUACCCGCUGAACUUAAGCAUAUCAAUAAGCGGAGGAA
rnacentral:misc_RNA from 1 species